rnacentral:tRNA from 1 species
CAAGAGAUAGUUUAUUUAAAAAUAUGAACUUUGGGAGUUUAAGAUAACUAGUUUUGG